ACGCGGCGGCGGCGGCGGCGGCGGCGGCGCCGGUGUGAAGGCGAAAUCAGUCGUGGAUGGAGCAGAGGAAGUGUCGGCCGUCUCCUCGGAUGGUAUAAUUCUCGACGUCGGACAUUGGACAGCCUAAAGUAUCUGCUGCCAGCGUCAAUCUUACAACUGGGACAUCUAUUGUAUGGCCCGUAUCUGAAGCCAAGGCUGUAGCAAAUUGGCAAAAAGAGUUGGGAGAAUUACUUGCAGAACACUUGACAAAUUGUGGCUUAAUGUCUAACCCUCGAGUGGGUUGUUGACAAGUUCUCAGAAUGCUCUCAUUAAUUUGGUUUUGUGACUUCUGAUGAGAAGCAAGCAAUGGGUGAGGCUAUUGAGGCUAUGAAUGGGAUGGACUUGGAUGGGAGAAAUAUCACUGAGGAAAAAGCUUGGCCUCAAGGUUCAGGUAGAGACCAAGAUGGUGAUCGCAGUUCUGAUCGUGGCCCUAAUAGGGAUAGUGGUACUCAAGGAGGAUCAGGAAAUGACUGCUAAAUCAGGACUGUUCUGGUCCCUAUGAACAUUGUGGUACAGGAAACUUCCGUUCGGGGUAGAAAGAAUAUUGCUGAUAGCACAAUUGGAGGUACUGCUGUUACUUGCUGGAGCCAAAGUCCCUUCCGUUGCAUCUCUUCUUUAUUGUUCUCUGGGUGGACAAAUCUGCUUGAUCAGUCUUUUGAUGUGCGAACUUUGGCUAAAAGAUUCAACUAUUUAAUGUCCGUGAAUGCUCGUUUUUUUAGUUUGGUCUGAUGACAUUGCUUGCUUGACUUAAACAAUCAAAUUUGGCCUUAAUCUCUCAAGGCUACGAUGGGUAGUGAAUUCUCUUUCGCUUA